rnacentral:rRNA from 1 species
CGUCAAGUCAUCAUGGCCCUUACGACCAGGGCUACACACGUGCUACAAUGGCGCAUACAAAGAGAAGCGACCUCGCGAGAGCAAGCGGACCUCAUAAAGUGCGUCGUAGUCCGGAUUGGAGUCUGCAACUCGACUCCAUGAAGUCGGAAUCGCUAGUAAUCGUGGAUCAGAAUGCCACGGUGAAUACGUUCCCGGGCCUUGUACACACCGCCCGUCACACCAUGGGAGUGGGUUGCAAAAGAAGUAGGUAGCUUAACCUUCGGGAGAGCGCUUACCACUUUGUGAUUCAUGACUGGGGUGAAGUCGUAACAAGGUAACCGUAGGGGAACCUGCGGUUGGAUCACCUCCUUACCUUAAAGAAGC